CUUCUACUCCCUCCGUCCGGAAAUAUUUGUCGGAGAAAUGCAUGAAAAUGAAUGUAUCUAAAACUAAACUGCGUCUAGAUACGCCCAUUUCUCCGACAAGUAUUUUGGGACGGAGGGAGUACAAA
rfam:Triticum aestivum genome assembly, contig: Triticum_aestivum_CS42_TGACv1_scaffold_405057_5BL